AAUAGGAAAUUUUAAUGGAGGGUGCUUAAUUAGCCGUUCCCUUCCUUAGUGGAGGCUGCUUAUUUUAAUAUGGAUGAUCUGAAGCACCCAGUAGAAGUAGAGGACAGGACAGGAGGAGGGAACAAGAAGAUUCGUUUAUCAUUGAUGUUAUGUGUGAUCAACAAAAACUUGUGCUUCUCAUCCAAUCUUUGUCGAACUAUGUUGAUGUGUGAUUAUGCA